rnacentral:misc_RNA from 1 species
GAUGAAGAACGUAGCGAAAUGCGAUACGUAAUGUGAAUUGCAGAUUUCAGUGAAUCAUCGAAUCUUUGAACGCACAUUGUGCCCGCUAGUAUUCUGGCGGGCAUGCCUGUUCGAGCGUCAUUUCAACCAUCAAGCCCUAGGCUUGCGUUGGAGCCCUGCGGCUGCCGCAGGCUCCCAAAUCCAGUGGCGGGCUCGUCGUCGUACCGAGUGCAGUAAACAUCCUCGCUCAGGGAACGUGACGGGUUCUUGCCGUGAAACCCCCCACAUAUCAAGGUUGACCUCGGAUCAGGUAGGAAUACCCGCUGAACUUAAGCAUAUCAAUAAGCGGAGGA